rnacentral:misc_RNA from 1 species
AACGCACCUUGCACUCUCUGGUAUUCCGGAGAGUAUGUCUGUUUGAGUGUCAUGAACUCUUCAACCUACCGAUUCCUAGUGAAUCGGAUUAGUGUUUGGAUUUUGAACGCUUGCUGGCCUUUCGGGGCGAAGCUCGUUCGUAAAUGAUUAGCAUCUCAUAUUCGAAAAUCGGAUUGACUCAGUGUAAUAGACUAUUCGCUGAGGACGCUUCUUUUGAAGUGGCCGAGUUUUGUAAAGUAGAAGCUUCUAAUUCUAUUAGUCAACUUUAGAUUAGACCUCAGAUCAGGCAGGAUUACCCGCUGAACUUAA